AUACCCAUUUAAGACUGCUGUGCUUUAAAUGGCUAACACAGGGGGGCAGAGUACCUCUCGCUAAAACCUGGGGUGCAGGAUUAACCCUGCCUUCGGAUCCUGUCGUGAGAAACAUGU